UACGUAGGGUCCGAGCGUUGUCCGGAAUUACUGGGCGUAAAGAGCUCGUAGGUGGUUUGUCGCGUUGUUCGUGAAAACUCACAGCUCAACUGUGGGCGUGCGGGCGAUACGGGCAGACUGGAGUACUGCAGGGGAGACUGGAAUUCCUGGUGUAGCGGUGGAAUGCGCAGAUAUCAGGAGGAACACCGGUGGCGAAGGCGGGUCUCUGGGCAGUAACUGACGCUGAGGAGCGAAAGCGUGGGGAGCGAACGGG
rnacentral:rRNA from 1 species